rnacentral:rRNA from 1 species
ACGUAUGGUGCAAGCGUUAUCCGGAUUUACUGGGUGUAAAGGGAGCGUAGACGGAGUGGCAAGUCUGAUGUGAAAACCCGGGGCUCAACCCCGGGACUGCAUUGGAAACUGUCAAUCUAGAGUACUGGAGAGGUAAGCGGAAUUCCUAGUGUAGCGGUGAAAUGCGUAGAUAUUAGGAGGAACACCAGUGGCGAAGGCGGCUUACUGGACGGUAACUGACGUUGAGGCUCGAAAGCGUGGGGAGCAAACAG